rnacentral:rRNA from 1 species
CCUACGGGAGACAGCAGUGAGGAAUAUUGGUCAAUGGGCUUACGCCUGAACCAGCCAAGUCGCGUGAGGGAAGACUGCCCUAUGGGUUGUAAACCUCUUUUGUCAGGGAGCAACGCCGGCUACGUGUAGCCGGACUGAGAGUACCUGAAGAAAAAGCAUCGGCUAACUCCGUGCCAGCAGCCGCGGUAAUAGGGAGGAUGCGAGCGGUAUCCGGAUUUAUGGGGUUGAAAGGGUUGGUAGGGGGGAGGCCAAGUCAGCGGUAAAAUCGCGGGGCUCAACCGCGCUCCGCCGUUGAAACUGGCGUUCUUGAGUGGUCGAGAAGUAUGCGGAAUGCGUGGUGUAGCGGUGAAAUGCAUAGAUAUCACGCAGAACUCCGAUUGCGAAGGCAGCAUACCGGCGCCCAACUGACGCUGAAGCACGAAAGCGUGGGUAUCGAACAGGAUUAGAUACCCCUGUAGUC